CCUACGCGCGGCAGCAGUGGGGAAUAUUGCGCAAUGGGCGAAAGCCUGCCGCAGCGACGCCGCGUGAGGGAUGAAGGUCUUCGGAUCGUAAACCUCUGUCAGCAGGGAAGAACGGUCACUGGGCUCAUCAGCAGUGAAUUGCCGGUACCUGCAACGGAAGCACCGGCUAACUCCGUGCCAGCAGCCGCGGUAAUACGGAGGGUGCGAGCGUUAAUCGGAAUUACGGGGCGUAAAGCGCUCGUAGGCGGUAAGUCACGUCAAGGUUGAAAUCCCCGGGCUAAACGUGGGAACUGCCUUUGAAACUGGCAAACUGGAGUGCGGGAGAGGAUAGUGGAAUUCCAGGUGUAGGAGUGAAAUCCGUAGAUAUCUGGAGGAACAUCAGUGGCGAAGGCGACUAUCUGGCCCAUAACUGACGCUGAGGAGCGAAAGCGUGGGUAGCAAACAGGAUUAGAUACCCUAGUAGUC
rnacentral:rRNA from 1 species